rnacentral:rRNA from 1 species
UACAGAGGGUGCGAGCGUUAAUCGGAUUUACUGGGCGUAAAGGGCGCGUAGGCGGUUAUAUGAGUGUGAUGUGAAAGCCCCGGGCUUAACCUGGGAAGAGCAUUGCAAACGAUAUGACUGGAGUAGUUGAGAGGGUGAUGGAAUUUCCGGUGUAGCGGUGAAAUGCGUAGAAAUCGGAAGGAACGUCAAUGGCGAAGGCAGUCACCUGGCAACAUACUGACGCUGAGGCGCGAAAGCGUGGGGAGCAAACAGG